AGAGUUUGAUCCUGGCUCAGGAUGAACGCUAGCGGCAGGCUUAACACAUGCAAGUCGAGGGGCAGCGCGGAGUAGCAAUACUCUGGCGGCGACCGGCGGAAGGGUGCGUAACACGUGAGCGACUUGCCCGUCACAGGGAGAUAACCGCUGGAAACGGCGACUAAUAUCCCAUAUGAUGACGAUCUGCAUGGAUUGUCAUUGAAAGAUUCAUCGGUGGCGGAUAGGCUCGCGGGGCAUUAGCUAGACGGCGGGGCAACGGCCCACCGUGGCGACGAUGCCUAGGGGUUCUGAGAGGAAGACCCCCCACACUGGGACUGAGACACGGCCCAGACUCCUACGGGAGGCAGCAGUGAGGAAUAUUGGUCAAUGGGCGGAAGCCUGAACCAGCCAUGCCGCGUGAAGGACUAAGGCCCUAUGGGUCGUAAACUUCUUUAGACGCAGAGCAAUAAGGGUCUCGAGAGAUCCGAUGAGAGUAUGCGUAGAAUAAGCAUCGGCUAACUCCGUGCCAGCAGCCGCGGUAAUAC
rnacentral:rRNA from 1 species